rnacentral:rRNA from 1 species
GAAAAUUAUUGCUAUUAGAUGAGCCUAUAUUAGAUUAGCUAGUUGGUGGAGUAAUAGCCUACCAAGGCAAUGAUCUAUAGCUGAUCUGAGAGGAUGAUCAGCCACACUGGAACUGAGAUACGGUCCAGACUCCUACGGGAGGCAGCAGUGGGGAAUAUUGGACAAUGGGCGAAAGCCUGAUCCAGCCAUGCCGCAUGAGUGAAGAAGGCCUUUGGGUUGUAAAGCUCUUUUAGUGAGGAAGAUAAUGACGGUACUCACAGAAGAAGUCCUGGCUAACUCCGUGCCAGCAGCCGCGGUAAUACGGAGAGGGCUAGCGUUAUUCGGAAUUAUUGGGCGUAAAGGGCGCGUAGGCUGAUUAAUAAGUUAAAAGUGAAAUCCCGAGGCUUAACCUUGGAAUUGCUUUUAAAACUAUUAAUCUAGAGAUUGAAAGAGGAUAGAGGAAUUCCUGAUGUAGAGGUAAAAUUCGUAAAUAUUAGGAGGAACACCAGUGGCGAAGGCGUCUAUCUGGUUCAAAUCUGACGCUGAAGCGCGAAGGCGUGGGGAGCAAACAGGAUUAGAUACCCUGGUAGUCCACGCUGUAAACGAUGAAUGUUAAAUAUGGGAAGUUUACUUUCUUACA